rnacentral:lncRNA from 1 species
AACAGAUUUUAAGUAUUCUCACCACAAAAAUAAGUGUGUGGGAUGAUGUAUGUGUUAAUUAGCUCAAUUCAGCUAUUUCUCAUGAAGAACUGGAAUGUUCAUGAAUAUCAAAUAGAAUGGGAGUUAACUGAAUUAACUGAACCAACAGAAAACAGAAGUAAUUUUUUUACCUUUGUUUAAAAUGCUGCUGAUCCUUUGUUUUAUUUUUCAGAGUCAAGGACACUUUUCUUUUGAGCUAUAUACAGCUUUUAGUAAUUGAGUAAAGUAUACUCCUGUGAACAAAAUGUGGAGCAUAUUUGAUUCUCUCUACCUGUUUUCUCCAAAAUUGGAAACUGAAUCAAACUUGACUUGUAAAGCCAGUAAAAGCUCCAUGAAGAAUUGGCCUCAUACCUUGUCUGCAACAGUCCCUGUACAGGGUUUCUGACUUGGGAGUGUCUGCUGUUGGAAGAUAGAAAUACCACUGACAUUUUUUAUGCUG